GCCAUCAUUAGUUAAGACGACGAAGGGGUAGUUAGGUACGGAGUACUCCGUACUGUACAUCAUAACAUCAAUCAUCACCCAGUUCCACCACUUCAUUAACAGCAAUUGACUGAUAUAUGCCCUUGCUGCCCGGACCGUCCUUUCUCUCCCUCUCGUUGUUUCCCACAUGUUUAUGUACAGUACAUGUACCCCCUCCCUCCAUUCUUUGCAGGGAAUAUAUCUUCGUGUUCCGCUGGACAUUCAGUCCGCUUGGUUUCGGAUGUAGAUCAUACAUAGUUGGGCAGUUGUUUUCUUCCUUCAUCCGGGCUUCCGAGAUUUCUUGACGAAAAAAAAAAAAAAAAAAACAAGAAAAGGAAAGAUAAGAGUGAAUGGAAAAGAUAUAAAACCUUGGAACUUGUUGUACAUGUACAUACAUGAUGGAUUGGGGAUUUGGGGGAGGGGAAAAGGGACCAGCCAACUGGGUGAUUGAAACCAUCAAAUGGCAUUUUCCCAUAAUAAUAAUAAUAGGAAGAUAAUCGAUAA
rnacentral:sRNA from 1 species